rnacentral:lncRNA from 1 species
GCCUAUCGAGGGUAUAAAAUAUUAUAUAACUUUUACAGUUAAGGAUGCUGUUGCUACUGCUGAUGGUGUUCCGAAGGUCUUUCAAGCAAAUAGUGCUGGACAUGAUAGAAACUGGUUUGGAGGUUGGUCUUUAUAGGCUUAAGCCUAUAAACUUCUAAAUUAGAGGUAAAAUUUUUAACUUUAUUUUUCUUUGAUUUGC